CAAUGAUUCUGCAAAGGUGUUUCUUUUCGAUUUCCAAUGGAAAGGAAGAACAUGGUGCAUUGAUGCAUCUGAAGAAGACUCCUCCCUUGGGAGACUCGUUAAUGAUGAUCACUAAAGACUCAAUCUCAAAAUGAAGGCCAUACAAGCAAACGAUGAGCCACACUUGUGCCUCUUCGCGACUCGAGAUAUUGCAGCUGGCGAAGAGUUGACUUAUAGUUACGGUGAUUCAGACUGGCCAUGGAGAACACAGGUCAUCAAAACUGAAUUGUCGUCCAGCC